GACGAACGCUGGCGGCGUGCUUAACACAUGCAAGUCGAACGAUGAACCCGGAGCUUGCUCCGGCGGAUUAGUGGCGAACGGGUGAGUAACACGUGAGUAACCUGCCCUUGACUCUGGGAUAACUGCGGGAAACUGUAGCUAAUACCGGAUACGACCCUCGGCGGCAUCGCCAGGGGGUGGAAAGAAUUUCGGUCAGGGAGGGACUCGCGGCCUAUCAGCUAGUUGGUGAGGUAACGGCUCACCAAGGCGACGACGGGUAGCCGGCCUGAGAGGGUGACCGGCCACACUGGGACUGAGACACGGCCCAGACUCCUACGGGAGGCAGCAGUGGGGAAUAUUGCACAAUGGGCGCAAGCCUGAUGCAGCAACGCCGCGUGAGGGAUGACGGCCUUCGGGUUGUAAACCUCUUUUAGUAGGGAAGAAGCGAAAGUGACGGUACCUGCAGAAAAAGCACCGGCUAACUACGUGCCAGCCGCCGCAGUAA
rnacentral:rRNA from 1 species